rnacentral:rRNA from 1 species
AAUAGAUACCCUGGUAGUCCACGCCGUAAACGUUGGGCGCUAGAUGUGGGGGCCAUUCCACGGUUUCCGCGUCGUAGCUAACGCAUUAAGCGCCCCGCCUGGGGAGGUACGGCCGCAAGGCUAAAACUACAAAGGAAUUGACGGGGGCCCGCACAAGCGGCGGAGCAUGCGGAUUAAUUCGAUGCAACGCGAAGAACCUUACCAAGGCUUGACAUAUACGAGAACACUGCAGAAAUGUAGGACUCUUUGGACACUCGUAUACAGGUGGUGCAUGGUUGUCGUCAGCUCGUGUCGUGAGAUGUUGGGUUAAGUCCCGCAACGAGCGCAACCCUCGUCGCAUGUUGCCAGCACGUAAAGGUGGGAACUCAUGUGAGACUGCCGGGGUCAACUCGGAGGAAGGUGGGGAUGACGUCAAAUCAUCAUGCCCCUUAUGUCUUGGGCUUCACGCAUGCUACAAUGGCCGGUACAAAGGGCUGCAAUACCGUAAGGUGGAGCGAAUCCCAAAAAGCCGGUCUCAGUUCGGA